rnacentral:lncRNA from 1 species
CUCCCAUCCCAUCAGGUUAUGGUACAGAUGACUACUUCGAUUCAAUUAAUGAGACAAUUGGAAACCCAUUUUCAGUUAUAAAUGUGGUGGCAUUGCUGUAAAUAUGUUACGAGAACCUUGACAGCUUUGCUGUAGCUCCAAAUCUUCCUCUUAUGUCCUGAACACUUAUUAAAUCAGCAUCUUUCUUGAGAGGCAAUUGGAUUUCUUUUCAGUAUGUGGACGAGAACGAGAAGAUGCGUGUAACUGUUAGGCAUGUGGUGGAUGGUAAAUGG